UGCCGUUUCUUUCGUUUUGCUUAUGCUUUUUGUUAUCGUUUCUGUCUUUCGUUUUUCUUGUUGGUUUCUGCUGUUGUGCAAUUGAUUUUCAGCUUUUGUUUUUCAGCGCCUUUGUUUUCGCUUUCCAGUUUUUAAUUCGGGACAGGAAAUAUCGAUUUGUUCAUUUUUUUUACUUACACUCUUGAUAGGCUAUGACUUUGUGUUUUUUUAUGGUUGUUUUUGCAGUGGUUGAACGGCUGUCUGAUCGUCAAUUGGAGGAUCGUGUAGUUGCAAUUUCCAGUAUCCCCAAUUGGGUUCUUUGUCAGUUAAACAUGGAAGGUCGAGGUCCAACUCCUCUUGAUCGAUUGGUCCCAUAUGAAAAAAUUGGAAAAAUUAAAGUUCGUAUCUGCAGAAUAUAGAUACCAAGAUUUUCAGGCAUGACUGAUAAAUAUGCAGGUCUACACUGUGUAUUAGUUGAUGAAAAGGUCAGUAAUUAAUCUUUAAUAAUACUGUUUGAUAAGCUCUUAACAUGUGAAUUUUGUAUUUGUUCUAAUACAUAUCACAUGACAUUUUUACUCUCUGGGAUAAACACAAUCUCCAAUUCAUUUCUAAUCUCUGUAUUCUUUCAUUUUGUAUCGGAAAAUUACAUGUUAGUUAUCAUUCUGUCUCUAUGUGAUAAGAAUUUGUUUUUGGGUGCAUAUGCAUUGUCUUUAACUUGUUAAUUACACUAAUAAAUUCACUCUUGACGUUAACUAUCCAUCUUAUUCUCUAAUAUUUGUGAUUUACAUUUAUUUUCAUAUUAUUUCAAGUAUUAAAUAUAUCAACUCUCAUGUUAAGUCUAUGUGACAUGUAAUUAUUUUAUGGGUAUCCAUUGCCUUUAAACUGUUAAUUACAAUGAUAACUUGGCUUUCAGUAUUUAGUAUUCAUCUUAGUCUAUAAUGUUGGUAAUUUGCAAAUGUUUUCAUAUUAUUUUAAGUUUCAAAUUUAGUGUUAUUUACCUAUUCAUGAUAUCUUUGACAAUUUCUUUUUCUUCCCUUCUCAAUGUUUGGUUAUCAAGGAACAAGCGAUAGAAGCGUCUUCUGACGAAAUGAACUAUGAUAUAAUAGUCCCAAAAAUUGAAGCAGGUGCUUGCUACGAGAUUAUGAAUUUUCGUACCAACAAAAUAAGAGGCCAGUGUCAAGUAGUCCCGCAUGACACCCAUCUCGUGUUAACUGCCAAAACAGUUUUUAACAAGUUAACAAGUGUGUUUCUGCCUAUUCUGUGUCGCAGAUUUUUUUUUGCAAGAUUAUAAUAGAUUGUAUCCAGGCUGAACAAGACUGAUAUCCUAACAGGUAAUAAAUAUGUACGCAUGUAUAUAUAGCUGUGUGUUACAAUGCAUUGAUACAUGUUUUAUGAAACAUUUUCUCCUCACCUAAUUAUGUUUUGGUUUUCUUUCUUUUUUUCAAAUUUGUAGAUGUUAUUGGUCAUGUGGUUGGAGUCCAGCGUUUUGGACUUGACGAGUUAACACAUCAUAUGAACUAUCUAAACAUAAGCUUUCUAUUUUUACUUCUUUUACAUAAGCUUUCUAUUUCAUGAUUAUUAACUAUCUAAACAUCUUUUUGGAUAUUUAACAGGAUGAUACAUUUUUGUGCAAGGCAUCAAUUAAGCGGUUUAACACAUCAUAUGAAUGGUGGUAUGCUGCUUGCCCUACAUGUGCCAAACAAAUGUACAAGGACCCAACAACUGGUCAACUGAUGUGCCAAAAACAUAUAAAUCAAAUGCCAACUCCUUGGUACAAAGUGUUCUUGGUCCUUGAAGACGAAACAAAUGAGAUCAAUGCUCUCAUUAUCGGCAAAUUAGGAGAAAAGGUCUUUGGCAUGCCAUGCAAAGAUUUGGUUUACAAUCAAAGAUCAACAGAUCACAAGCAAUUACCAAGUGAGUUUUUCAGACUUAUAGGCCAAAGGAAAAAUUUUCACCUUUGGUUUGGAAGCCGACGAAAUUUGUUGAAUUCAAAUGAUCUCCUUAUCUACAAUGUUUCUGAGGACACAAUGAUCCAACCAACAACACCAGUCUUUUAUGAAAGAAAUUGCAGUGUCUUCGACAACAGUUUCAUCGUCCACUACACCAGCUGAAAAAACCGGAGAAACGCACAAGAGGAAAAGAGAUUCCAUCAGGAGAGCCCUUUUUACAGAGGCUAAAAACAUAGGAAGUCUCUGAAGUAGAUGUCUAGGAUUUUGGUCAGGUUCCAAUCAAAUUGUUGAAAAAAAAGCAUCUUCUCCAACAAGCAUGAAAAAAGACCCUCUACCAAAAAAAAAAAAAACUAGGUAACUUUGCUCCAUUCCUAUUUUUUAUAUGAUGUAACCAUAUUUGCACACACUUGAUUACAGCUCAGUUAGCAUUUACAUAUUUUUUUUACCAUCUGCACAUCGUUUAUUUGCAGUUAUUGCCAGAAGGAACAAACUUUUGCUGCUAUAGAAAAGAGACUGAUCAUCUUUUGUUAAAACAACAUCAGUGCUUCUCCAUAUUUUUUGCGUGUAAAUAGGCCACCAUAACAUUGAUACCCCUAUUUUUUGUGCACAUGAACAACUGAUGCUGAUCAACACCUAACAUAGCUACCAGGGGGAAAUAUCAGACUCAUCACUUUUGUACAUCCAUGUCAAAAUGUUUCCUAAUGUUUUUUGCCUAAAUUGUACAACUAUAAACAGUGGCCUGUAAAAAUAUUGACUACAUUUUAUAUGCAGUCUUUAUUAUGUUUAUGUUAAUAGUGUUACUCAACAUUUAUGUA